UUUAUAACAAAGUUCAAGGAAGUGAGUAAAUAGAUAAGUAGACGGCUUAACUGAUGAGAAAACAAACAAUUUUACACAAAGUGUAAAAUUUCGCGUCAAGGUGAAUACUUUUGUGUCAAAUUGUGUCACAAAACUUGUGACGUGAUAAUAGUCGCGUCAUGUCAAAAGUGCCACACCAACCCUCCAGGGGUUAUCAGUUUGGGUUCUUUCUUAUAAAAAUCACGCUGCUCAGCACGACAUGUUUACCACUUUAAUUGAGAGGCCUCUUUUUUAUUUGAAGAUUCUCCAAAGAAUUGGCACAGCAUGUUCAAACAAGGAAUUACAUGGUAUUUGGCCAUAAGCUAAGAAACUUCUAAUCAGUGGUGACUUUAAAGGAAUGGAAGAAAAUUAUAAUUAUGUGCAUCUUAAGUAAAAUGGAAAGGAUCUCCAAAAAUUAAUCUGUAAAAAUAAUAGUUCUUAUGGGUUCGGCAAAAGUAGAAAAAUUUAUUUUAAAUCUAUUUUUUCGCAUAAAUUCAUUUUUAUUUGAUCAUUUCGAUCUGUAAUAAAACUGUUUGAGCACACGUUUUGGACUAAAUGUUAUAAUAACACUUUCGUUUCGAUUGGUAAAUAUUAUUUUUGUUUGUGAAUGGUUGGAGACUAGCACAAAUAGGUAAAUCAAGUAUGCAUUUUGCGAUCCAUUUCAAUUUUUCAUAUUAAAUUAUACCGAGCAGAACUAUCGCACUUUGUUGCAUUUAAAAUUGAACUCUAAGCAAAAAGUUACAUAUUUACUUGAUAUGUUACAAAACCAAGCAUGCGUUGAUUACUGUGAGAGCUGAAUUUGGUUCGUACAUAGUUUACAAUUUGAACCCAUUAAUUUAAAAUUGAUACAUACGUAUGCACUUAAAAACUGUGGUUUCGUGAAGCUUGAUACACAUAUUACACCAGACAAUUCAAAGUUCAGGACAAGUCAAGUCCAUUUGAAUAAAAAAAAUGAAUAUUGCUCAAAGUCGUGAGAGAAUAAUGUAUAUUUGGGAAUUUGUAAUAAACAGGACAUUCAAAUUGUACGCAUCCCAAAAUUAAGACACUUUCCGACCUUUUUUAUUGAGACAUCGCCGGAUGAGAAGUAAAUACGUGGUGAAAUCCAUCCUGUCAAUUUUUUCAUUAUUCGCAUUUAUGGGAAGCAACUUCUUGCUUUGAUGCGUAUCGCAGGUUCAGCUUAAUUGUUAUGAAAAAUAUAUGAGCUUGGCACAAAUUUUUCUUUUUUGUGACAUUGGAAUUAUUUUCUUUAUUUAUGAUUCGGAUAUGGCACCGGAAGUUUAUAUGCAUUGUUUCUUUUACUCGUUGUAGGAAAACACCUUAAUUAACUCGAUUAAAGAGGCAAAUUGUGGCAAUGCUGUAACGUUUUGCGGCGGGUGUUUCAUGAUAAGCACUUUUGUUUGAGGUCAACUUAUAAAGUGGUUCCGCUAAAAUGGCCAUAUGGUCAAUAAAUCCAUGAUACCAUUGGAUCAUCCCAAGAAAAGUCUUUAAAAGUUUUCUUGUUGAUGGGAAUUCAAAAUUUUGAAUGGCCCUGACCUUUUCAGGGUCUAUUUCUAUGCUUUUGGAGGACACAAUGUGACCUAGGAAGGUUGCGCGAUUCUUCCCAAAAUGGCAUUUUGAUUUUUUAAGUGUCAGGCCAGCUUUUCGAAACCGUUCUAAGACAGUCUCGAGAUGCCUUUUGUGAUCACUAAAGUUUUCACUAAAUACGAGGACAUCAUCUUGAUAAAUUAACACAAAUUCAUCGAGACCAGCAAGAAGCUCGUUCAUCAUCCUCUGAUAGGACGCCGCAGCAUUCUUGAGUCCGAAGCACAUCAUGUUAAACUCAAAAAGGCCCCUUUGGGUACAGAAUGAGGUGUACUUACGGCUCUUACGAUCCAUAGGGAUCUGCCAGUACCCUUUCUCUGCAUCCAUUGUACUGAUAUACUUUGCGUUGGCCAACUUACGGAGAAGGUCAUGAACGCGAGGAAUGGGAAAACUGUCAUUAUCGGUAUAUCUAUUGAUGUGUCUCAAAUCAACACAAAAUCGCCAAGUCCCAUCCGUUUUCUCUUUCAAAAGAACAGGACUUGCGUAUGGGGAAUCUGAUGGACGGAUCACCCCCAACUUUAGCAUUUCGUCAACUUGCCGGUUGAUCUCUGCGUGUUUGUGGGGUGCCGUGGGAUACGGACGCUGUCUCUUUGGAUGCUCCUCCAUCAUUUUUAUUGUGUGUUUGACACCUUUUAUUCUCCCUAGUGGGGCAUCGACUACGUCGGGAAACUUUUUGAUAAGCUCCUUCAGUUGGUCGGAUUCGAAUUCGCUCACUAAUUGUAAAUUGCAAUUGGAUACGUGAACUUUACUAACUGUGAGUGGGGACUUUUGACUUGGAAAGGAGUCUGAAAAACCCCAUUCCAGUGACCCUAUGUCCAACACUAACCCACAAUUAUGAAGAAAGUCCAUACCCAAGAGCAUUUCAUUCGAGCUAUUCAUGACAGCGAAAGUGUGAGUGUAUUGACGAUCAUUUAAAUUAAAUUUUAAGGUAACCAUACCAGUAGGAAGAGACUCAGUACGAUCUAGCAUGAUAACUGGUCCUUCUACCCAUUUAUUUACAGAAAAUCAUUUCCCUAAUACUUUCCUAAGCGAUUUUAAAGUUACAAUUGAAAUCGUAGAACCAGUAUCCGCUAAGGCAUUUAAUUUACAGGAGGGAAAAGUAAUAGGAAGGAUAGGAAUUAGUCGGUUGGGGUCUUGAAUUAGAGGAUGAGUAACCACAAAUCCGUGGAUGGUUACUCCCUCCUCCCGUUUCCCGUCGCAUCUUGUGACGAUUGUUGACGCUGAGAGUGUUGAUCACUCCCUUGACCACAAUUCACUUGAGGCUGUUGACGACGACGACAAUUCUGGGUGGUAUGGUUGCUUAAAUGGGGACAAUAUGUACACACUUUCGGUCGACCUUGUUGUCGCUGCUGUUGUGGUUGUUGUUGUUGUUGUUGUUGUCUAUUUGAAGGUGGUGGGGACUUCCUUCCAGAAUUAGCAGAAUUUGUUUGAUGAGAUUCCACUUUCUUCUCACCUUUUUGCCAGGAUUUGUACUUGUUGUGGGACUUCUCUUGUAUAGGACGCUCAAUUUUUGACGCAUAGUUAAUGAGGUCCACAACCGUUGCAGCACGACUCGCGAGGAGAUUUGCUUCAAGUACGGUAAAGCUCUUUCUGCAAUGAAGGUGACAAUCUCUGCUUCUUUGUUGUUGGUUGUCAUCCGGUACACUUUCAGGUACUGGAGAUCCAUCUCGAAGGCGAACUUCUGGAACGGUUCGUUGUCAUUCUGCCGACGUAAAAGUAACUUCUCUAGUGCAGCAUGAAGAUCAGAAUCCGAUGCAUACAUGGUGAUGAAAUGUUUUUUAAAAUCGUCCCAUGUACGAGCGAAAAGUUUGGUGCGUUGCCACCACAAUGAUUGAUUGGGGUCUUGAUUGAAGACGGCAGGCAGUGAUAGGAUCCAAUCUUUCCGGAGAAAGCGCUUCCGUUCCAUAUGAUUCUCUAAUUCCAUGAUGAAAUUUUCAGCUGAAUCAAUGUUCGGGUUAAAUUUUGGUGGAGGAAUAUUGCCUACGGAAUGAAAUAGUACAGGUCCUGACGAAGAAGAACGAGUUUGCAUGAUUGCAUCGGUAGGAUUUGUAGGGAUUUCUUCCUCUUUGCCAUCCAUGAUUCUGGUGCGAGAAAUGCACCACGCUGGAACGGCAUCUUCUUUAUUCUCAUUUGGAGGGUUAUUGACCUGUGGAGGAGAAUGCGACAAGAAUUGCGGUGGUGGAGGACAAGACAAGAAUUGUGGUGGUGGAGGGACGCCACGAAGUUCAACGCAGGAUGAGGGGUCAUCUUGAUUUGGUAGCGUGGGUAUCAUCUCCUUGGAAGGAGUUUGAACCCUUGAAUUUGCAUGGAUGAACUCAUUGAUGAUGCUGGACU